rnacentral:rRNA from 1 species
AUACGUAGGUGGCAAGCGGUUAUCCGGAUUUACUGGGCAUAAAGGGAGCGUAGGCGGAUAUUUAAGUGGGAUGUGAAAUACCCGAGCUUAACUUGGGAGCUGCAUUCCAAACUGGAUAUCUAGAGUGCAGGAGAGGAGAAUGGAAUUCCUAGUGUAGCGGUGAAAUGCGUAGAGAUUAGGAAGAACACCAGUGGCGAAGGCGAUUCUCUGGACUGUAACUGACGCUGAGGCUCGAAAGCGUGGGGAGC